rnacentral:rRNA from 1 species
GAUGAACGCUGGCGGCGUGCCUAAUACAUGCAAGUCGAGCGAACAGACGAGGAGCUUGCUCCUCUGACGUUAGCGGCGGACGGGUGAGUAACACGUGGAUAACCUACCUAUAAGACUGGGAUAACUUCGGGAAACCGGAGCUAAUACCGGAUAAUAUAUUGAACCGCAUGGUUCAAUAGUGAAAGACGGUUUUGCUGUCACUUAUAGAUGGAUCCGCGCCGCAUUAGCUAGUUGGUAAGGUAACGGCUUACCAAGGCAACGAUGCGUAGCCGACCUGAGAGGGUGAUCGGCCACACUGGAACUGAGACACGGUCCAGACCCCUACGGGAGGCAGCAGUAGGGAAUCUUCCGCAAUGGGCGAAAGCCUGACGGAGCAACGCCGCGUGAGAGAUGAAGGUCUUCGGAUCGUAAAACUCUGUUAUUAGGGAAGAACAAAUGUGUAAGUAACUAUGCACGUCUUGACGGUACCUAAUCAGAAAGCCACGGCUAACUACGUG